GGAACCGUUCAUUUACUUCUCCAGAUAAAGAGGGCUCCAUUGGAAAACUCAUCUGGGACUAUGUUAGCAGCUUAGCUAGUUUAGCGGCUCUUUCGAGCAAACUUUAACCUGUCAAUUAAGCGGGAUCCCGGGAAAAUAAAUAGCUAGCUGUUAAAAGCUAACCGCGUUUCGUAAUCCAUGCAAAAACAAGUUUGGCAUUUAUAUUUAACAAAGAUUGGUUGUGUUUGAGUUAAAAUAACAAACCGAGUGUUUCCAGCAGUGUUUAGCUGCGCACUCUGAUGACGUAGUGAAGGUAUGCCAUCCAUUAACACUAAGCUCAAUGUAUAAGCAAGUGCAAGCAAACGAGCUGCGGCGACAUAGGCCUUUGUUCAGCACUUUCAAACUGGACACCGACAGAUAUUCAGAUCGGUGUUAGUUCAGAUAAAUUCAGCAAGAUGUUGAGGCGUUUACUGCAGGGUAAUUUAGAUAUUACAUUUGGCACCGGCUGCCAUGUGUUACCGCAUCGAUAUUAUUAUUAUUUUUAUGCCUAUGUGGUCAAAAAAGGAAGGGAACAAUCAUGAGGAUCCACUUACAGGCAAUAGGCCUAUACCGAUGCAGAGACGGCAUUGCGCAAUCAACACAACCCUCGUAAAAUCAACUUGAAUUACUUGGGUCUAUUACUGAACUUUCUCUGGAAAACAUGGUUACAGACCGAACAACAUUAUAGUAUCCCCUCCUUGUGGAGAAAAGCAUAUGAGCUAAUUAUAAUAAACAAAAUAAGCAAAACAAAGAAAUGCAUCAUUCCAACAUUGCCUAAAAAUAUGAAUUAGAUACUAAUGAGCCAGACCUAUAUAGGCAAUAUAACAAGGGGACGAUGAGAGGACGAGGCAAGCCAUAAUUUUGGUUAAGACAUUAAUGAGCGAGCUCAGACAGACAAUAUGCCUAUUUGCUCAGCACUUUUGAAAUGGACAGCGACAGAAUUCAGAACAUUGGCCGUUCUUACAGUAUUCUCCCUGUACACUAAGUCAGAAAAUGUAGGAUAAAUAAAGGGGGCAUAUUAAUCAGACAAUGAAAGCUUUUACAAUAUUCGAUGGUGACAUUUUUCAAAAAUUGGCUAUAGAAUAAAACACUUUUUGUUUUUGUUUUACCUUUAUUUAACGUGCACCACCAAGUCAGAACUGUAGGCUAUAGGCUAAGAUCUGAGAGGGAGAGGGGGACUAAAUGCUUAGGGUGAGACACAUGGGCUACUAACAGCUUACUACACAACAUACACUUAGUAUUACUGUCUUAGCUACAGUAUACAUAUAUCCCUGGCAUAUUACAUAAUUUAUACAGCAGCAUACAAGACAUAGGCUUAUUUUUGGACCGUUGUUGUGCUGUGCUCACUUGAACAGGAAGGUGGCGUGGCAGACCUUCUGUGGGCACACUUUGUCAUUAAAGUUUGGUAUUCUCUGGAUAUAUGGUACUUUCAAGAUAACUGGCAACUCAAAAAAAACAAGGUUGAAUCAUGACGUCAGUGAUCUUCAGGUCUUAAAGUCGGAGCUCUAGAAAGAGACCAGAGUUCGCGAUUUGGAAUUCCAAGUUGGAUGACCGUUCAAAGCAUAUUUUCCCAGUCUGAGUUAGUUUUUUCCCGAGUUCCGAGUUGUCUUGAAUACACCGAAGUUAGAUAUUUCCAAGUUCUGAUUUCUAAGUUCCCAGUUGUUUUGAUCACGGCAGAAGUCAUGCUGGAUUGACAGCUGGCCAAUCUAUUCAACCUUUUCUGUCCCAUGGUGUUGCGUGUGAAUGUUUAUCCUUUUAAGCUUGGAAAAGUGACUCUUUCAGACAGAUGUUUUAAAUACUUAAACCCAGACUUGGACCACACACUCUCUCCUUGAAUAGCAAGCAGGGGAAGCAAAAUAGUGAUUGCUUUGCAUUGCAGUUCCUUCCAAACCACUCAUUGUUGAAUUUGGGAUUUCCGACUUGUUGGUUAAUGUUUAUGUCCAAUGGCGAUGAGCACCGAUACGUUUUAUCUAUAAUUUCUCUUCAUUUGACAAGGAUUGAAAAGGAUUUGCCAGUAGAUUGUCAAGCUUAUUCAUGACGAUGACUGCUUGUCUAGCUAGCUACCUUGCUAGAUAAGAUUUUGAAAGUAUGAUGUUGACAUGAUCAGUCCAAUCAAAGCUACCUUAGAUAUAACAUGACUUGGCAUCAUUAUAUAUAUGGCCAAUGACCUUGAGCCUUCGUGGAUGAGCAUUUCUAAUGUAAAUCAAUGGCAGCACCCAAGGGGGCCUGAACUGCCUAGCUCUUCCUGAAGAUUAUGCAGUGAUAUAGUGUCCCCAUGAGUGACAGAACACUGAGCCAAUCAUGGUGCAACUAGAGAAAAUUAAUAACACCUAAGCUCUGUGCUUUCGAUGGCUGCCCCUCCACCACAGAAAUCACUGAGCUAGUCUGAAACGCCUCCAUGUUUGUAUCCUGUUUAUUAACUCAAGGAUUAUUAUUCAUGUUUUUACAUUGUUUGCAAACUGAUAUGCAUGAAGUAAUGCCAAAAUAACAUGCACAUUUUUUUGUUUCUUUUAGUUAAACAGGUACGGUGGUUCUUCACUGUCGUGCGCACAUAGGAGAUCCCGUGAAAAAUGUGGAAUUCAAAUGCCUGUCUAAGUGAUUCGCCGGCCCUGAAACAUGGUGUCCCAUAUUAAGUACUACUGCUUGGAUAGAUAGGAGGUAGAGGGCUUGCAAGCAUACAGGUAUAGAUUCUCUACUGUAUCUAACUCUAUGAUUCCAAGUCUUUGUAAGUCAUUACUUGGCACUGAUUGUGCAACCCAAAGACACAUCAUGUGUCACAGUGUCACACACUGUGAACAGACUGUGUGUGAAACACUCUUUCUCCUCAUAGGCAGUACUAAAAUGAGUUGGACUUACAUUGUGUUGCUGAAUUGUGUCCAGGUUCUCUUCCUUCUCCCAAAGUGUGCACUUCUAUACUUUCUUUCAUGGAUUUAGCAAUGGAAACGCCCUCCUUUCAAUGCUUACACCAAUCCUAUGCUUUUCAAUUCAUGACAAGAAGUGCAUACAUAGGGAGAAGGGUGGAGAAUUGGGACGUAGCCCUUGUGUGCUCUCUCAACCACCUCUAUGCCAACAAAAGAACAUACGGGAUACUCUACGGCAUGACAUUUAAUUCUAUUCAUAUUGUAGUCCCAUCCUCUCCCACUGAGUUCUUGUAUAUGACAUGUUGCUUGUUGCAAAUGUGGAGGAAAUUAAUUUAUUUCAUACUAUGCUGUUUAAUUAGACAUACUAUGCUGUUUUUUACUUAAAGAAUUUUACAUUGUUAUAUCCUAGUAUUUUUUACUGUUACAAAUCUGUCUUGUGUGACUUAGUCAUAAAUCCGAGCGUACAGAUUUAGGAGCCGUUUGGGUACGACCGCAGUAUGUGACCUGUGUUUACAAUCGCCAGGAAUUUAGCUAUGUGGGAAUUGCAGGGAGGAACAUAGAAUGGUGGCGAUAUCAUCAAUCUUGAUCUGCACAGAUGAGCUAAACUACUUUUUACAACUCUGUUCACUGGCACUGUUUAUGCACAUCUGCUAACUGUCACAUAGAUACGAGGAUGUACUUUCUAUAAAAGGAGAGAGCCAACUGUUCAUUGGGCAUUCAACUCUGAACUAUAUGAGUAAUUAUUGAUUACUCCAUUGUUGCAAAUCUCAUUGUUGCAAAUCUUACUGUUUGAAGAAAUCUACAGUCUUUUUUCUUUUGGUUAGAAUUCCCAUCACAAUUUGGCAAAGACAUAGGAUGGCUAACUCCGUCUGCUGUUCGUUCCCGGGGUGACCGAGGUUAUCUCCGCGCAGAGGCUGCAUUGGACGUGGCUCAGGGAGCCCACACUAAGCGGAGCAGAAAGGGACCUGCCUCGAACCCGGCAGGGAGCGUUAGUGGACGGAUACGCCAUCUCGAACAUACAGAGUUAAGGAAACCACACAUACAAACAGUACGGCAACUGCCCCGCCCACAACCGUAAGGCUCUCCAGAGGGUAGUGAGGUCUGCACAACGCAUCACCGGGGGCAAACUACCUGCCCUCCAGGACACCUACACCACCCGAUGUUACAGGAAGGCCAUAAAGAUCAUCAAGGACAACAACCACCCGAGCCAAUGCCUGUUCACCCCGCUAUCAUCCAGAAGGCGAGGUCAGUACAGGUGCAUCAAAGCUGGGACGAGAAGCUGUCUUUCAGUCUCUAUCUCAAGGCCAUCAGACUGUUAAACAGCCACCACUAACAUUGAGUGGCUGCUGCCAACACACUGACUCAACUCCAGCCACUUUAAUAAUGGGAAUUGAUGGGAAAUGAUGUAAAAUAUAUCACUAGCCACUUUAAACAAUGCUACCUAAUAUAAUGUUUACAUACCCUACAUUAUUCAUCUCAUAUAUACGUAUAUACUGUACUCUAUAUCAUCUACUGCAUCUUUAUGUAAUACAUGUAUCACUAGCCACUUUAACUAUGCCACUUUGUUUACAUUCUCAUAUGUAUAUACUGUAUCUUGCCUAUGCCGCUCUGUACCAUCACUCAUUCAUAUCUUUAUGUACAUGUUCUUUUUCCCCUUACACUUGUGUGUAUAAGACAGUAGUUUUGGAAUUGUUAGUUAGAUUACUUGUUGGUUAUUACUGCAUUGUCGGAACUAGAAGCACAAGCAUUUCGCUACACUCGCAUUAACAUCUGCUAACCAUGUGUAUGUGACAAAUACAAUUUUAUUUUAUUUGAACAUUAUUUGCCAAUAUCAUAACUGGAACUGGACAUGUUUGGAGUUGAAGAUUGAGGCCAGAUUUAGUAUCCUAGCGUUCACUCCUUAACAGUACUGGAUGAAAACACAGCAAGAAAACACUUGCUGGAAGAGUGUGGGACUGCUGUACCAAUUGUCCACAUUCAAAGUGUGUCCCUUGUCGUGAUGAGGAGCCAGCAUGGUCAUCACCGUGGAACCAGACACCCCAAGCCCCUCAUAAUGUUGGAUGUCAAUGGUGGAUCCUGUGUAAACUAUAAUGUCCUGGACAAAUCCUGUCUUCACGUCGCACAUAACAAAGCACUUGACCACAAACCUUUGCCUUUUGGGUGGAACGCCAGCCUACCCUUCCGUAACAUCAGGGACUUAUCAAUGCAUAGGUCCUUGGAUGGCACAAAGACCCUACCAAAUGCUAUUGUCAAGCUGCUCCAAGGCAUAGCGGUUGGUCUCCUCUAGUAUGUCUCCCACCAGCUCCUCUGUCAGAAACAGCAUGAAGCACUCUGCCUCAGAGGGAAAUGGCAAGGGGCUUUGCAAUCCAGACUGGGACUCAUCAAAGCAAACAGCAGGGCCAGGAAAUGGCUGGCAGCCUUCCAGCUACCACAGACCCUCCUGUACAUUAUCCACUGUCAGUCUGCCUCCGUCAACACCAGCAUCUUCAAAGGGACCUCGGGCUUCGUCAGGGGACAAGGGGUCCUCAGAUUCAGGGUUCUCAAUGGCUAGAAGGUUGGGGGGCAGAUCCUCAUUGUCACUGUCAGAAUCUGAUUCCUGACUUUGUCAGAAUUGUACAAAAUCUUUCUGCAUUUGUGAGUUGUCUCCUUUUGAAAGACAUUGCUAAUGCUACAGCUUAGCUCACUAGCUACAUACAUAAAGAACAACACUGAAUCACUCAGAGUGGGAGUGAGAGGUUACGUGAUUGACUGCCGGCACGUGCCAAUUGAUUCGAUACAUCACUAUCAGAAAAUGUUUUGUGUGGUAAUUAUUUAUUUAUAUACUGUUUUAUUCACGUUUUCAAGUACUGGUGACAAAUCAUGCAUUCCGAUUCUUGCAUAGAUUGUAAUGGACACAUUGUGUAUAAAAAUACUUUUAUGAAGGUUGUACUGACUAUGAUGUGCUAAGCUAAUUCCAGCUAUGUGUGGAGCCAUGUUUGUUGAAAUACAACGCAUUCUGGGUUUCACGUAAACGUCUUUCGGACCAAGGAUUUUAUAACAAAAUGAGGUGAGGGAGGGUUCACUCACUUUUUGAGUAAACUUCCAGAAGUGAAUGAUGGAAUGUGAACGAUGGUAGACGACACACUGUUACAGGAAUUAAAUUCCUUUGUUUUAUUUAACCAAUUAAACACUGCCCACUCCUAAGAAUUUGUAAGACCCUUAUUUGCAUAAAAUGGUCAGAGACCAGUCUCAAAAUCAAUCAGUAGCGUUUAUUCUCAAGAGUACUGAACACGAUACAAUUUACCACAGGUUAUAAACUGAAAAUGACGUCAUUAGUUUUCGAACUGUCCCGUCUCUUCUCCACUCUGGUACAAUGGCAGUAUAGUUCUCAAGCCUUCCCGCAUCGUCCCACACCAAUUUAGAUAAUUUAUGACAGCCAAGGUCUUCCUGUGUAGAUAAGCAUUCUAGCCAGACUGACGAUAAGUUCAUUAAUUUCUACCACGGAACAGACAGUCAUUGUUCUAAUUCUUGAUUAUAAUUACACACAUAUUCAGUACUAGGAUUAAAAGAAAUGUCAUACAUAUACAGUACAUAAUAGUAUUCUGAUUAGUCAGUCCUGAUUGAAAUGUAUACAUAAUUAGUCAUUAUUGAUUAAAAAAAAAUCCUUAACACACCCCCUUCAACAUGCAUACUAUAAACAGACCAACCCCAUCUUGUCUUCUUAUCUUUGGUUGAUGAGAAAAAACAAACAUGGUGGCGUGCACAUACAACCCAUCGUUGGAUUACUUUCAAUUUCUAGAAAGUGUUUUACUCAAGUAUUUAGAUCAAUGGUGAGCUCACCCGUGAUGUGAUUAUUUUUAUAUAGUAAUUGCUAUUCGCUAAUUCCUGCUGUAGUUUCUGUCAAUCGAGAGUUAUGAAAAUAUGAAUGCUUAUGUUACGUCAAUCUUUCCUCAGUUAGCGCUAGGAUAAAAUUAGCCUACAUUUUCCGGUUUGGAUGAUUGUGUUAUGUUGUAGCUACUUCUGUGAAUGUCUGAACAUUGCAUCCAAAAAUAAACGGGUCACAUUCUGGACA